rnacentral:rRNA from 1 species
GAUGAACGCUGGCGGCGUGCCUAAUAAAUGCAAGUCGAGCGAAGAGGGGGCGGGUGAGAACAACGUGGUCAACCUCCUAUAAGUCUGGAAUAACUUCGGGAAACCGGAGCUAAACCGGCUACUUAUAGUUGGAUUCGGUCUGCAUUAGCUAGUUGGUAAGGUAACGGCUUAACAAGGCAACGAUGCAUAGCCGACCUGAGCGGGUGAGCGGCCACACUGCAACUGAGACACGGUCCAGACUCCUACGGGAAGCAGCAGUAGGGAAACUUCCGAAAUGGCCAAAAGCCUGACGAGGCAACGCCGCGUGAGUGAAGAAGGUCUUCGGAUCGUAAAACUCUGUUAUUAGGGAAGCGGUACCGAAACAGAAAGCCACGGCUAACUACGUGCCAGCAGCCGCGGUAAUAC